GUAGGGAAUAUUGCACAAUGGAGGAAACUCUGAUGCAGCGACGCCGCGUGAGUGAUGAAGGCCUUCGGGUCGUAAAGCUCUGUCGCAGGGGAAUAACACAAUGAAGGUACCCUGUAAGAAAGGAUCGGCUAACUUCGUGCCAGCAGCCGCGGUAAGACGAGGGAUCCUAGCGUUGUUCGGAAUCAUUGGGCGUAAAGCGGAUGUAGGUGGCUAUGUAAGUCAGAUGUGAAAGCCUGGGGCUCAACCCCAGAAGUUCAUUUGAUACUGCGUAGCUUGAGUGUCGGAGAGGUUACUAGAAUUGUUGGUGUAGUGGUGAAAUACGUAGAUAUCAACAGGAAUACCGGAGGCGAAGGCGGGUAACUGGCCGAACACUGACACUGAGAUCCGAAAGCGUGGGGAUCAAACAGGAUUAGAAACCCGUGUAGUCC
rnacentral:rRNA from 1 species